UAAGGGCAGCCACUGGAGGGGGAGUGUUUCUUAGUCCUAGGUUGCUUCUUGUGGAGUGCUGUAUGACCAGAGAGUGCUUUUGCCAGUGGGGGCUCCCCUGUGAAUAGAAGGAAUAGUAUUAUCAGUACUACAAACCUGGGAAAUGAAUGUUAAGCCUGGACUGAGAGCUAUUUAGCCAAGCUCCAUGCAGGAUAUUCUGCAGCACGUGCUACAACAGAGUGAUAUUUUAAAGAGCUUCUACAAGCUAGAGCCUUCAGUUAUCUUCAGAUCGUCAGCUGCAGGCAGGGAAGAGUGAAUGAAACCUUAUUUAUGCCACUGAUCACCAAGAAGAUCCAGAAUAAGGUUCUUCAAAAUGCAGCAGUAGUAAGAAAAUCUAUUUCUCCCUACUUUCCAACUUGGCCUGUUGAGUUUCUUCAGCUGCCACGCCUGUGAUUUUUCCUAUUUGCCCUCAUGCUGAGAGUGCUGGUUUCCAUUAAUGAGUCCAGCAAUUGAUGACACUCGAUGAUAUCUCAGCAUCCAGAAAUCCUGAAAGCAUGCUGACUAUACAAAACACUGCUGUAAGAACUGACUGUGAGGUGGCUAUUUUUUUUUCCCUUUUAAAAGGAUGCGGCUACUUGGUGUUCCCAGCAUGCAUGUCUUGUUGUCACUGUGGGCCAAAGGGAAGUUAAGUGUGGAUUUUGAUGGCUGACAAGAGAGUUUCUUCUUUUUUUUGACCCCUCAUCUGACUAGAUAAUAUUCUUGCAGCUAUUACAGUAAGGCCAAGAAAGGGGGAAGAAAUUACGGAAGGAUGCAUUCAGAGAAUGAAUGACAAGAAUGGGAAAAGAAACUUAAAGGGCCAGAUUCUGAGGCAGAAUGAGUAGCAGUCAACAGGGCAAAUGGCAAGGACUCAGAAAUGCUGUGGAUAUGCAGAGCUUGUAGUGAACAGAUUUUCAGUGCCACCUGAAGUAAUCUUUAAGUCAGCAGAUGGAAAACACGAAGGGUAGGAAGCUUAUUUAUCAGGAAUUAAGUGUAAGAACACAUCCUUCUCUCAAAAGGCCUUUGGGUUCCUUUCAGGGAUUCCCAAAAGAUCUAGCAGUGCCCUGUGUUUUGUCUACAGUGUUCUAAAUACAGCCUUCAGUCACACCAGUCCUGUUUGCCAGCAGUGAACGAGCUUCACGCCCUGUAAAUCCUUUGAGUACCUCAUGUUUAAGUCUAUGUAUUCAGAUUCUUUCAAUAUUCAUUUUCUUGGCCUGAAAAUAUAGAAGUCUAAUGCUUAUUAAUUUAAAGUGUACUUACGUUUUUAUUCCCAAUCAAGCCUGCUGCAUAGUAAAACAUUUCUACCUUACAUAUUUUUCAUCUCUGGAGCAGCAUAAACUACCUUGGACUCAAAAGUGUGUGUAUCAUUUCAGCAACUGCUAUCGGUAGUAAACUGUCCUGAUAAAGGUGAUAUUUCAGUUGAUUCCUGCACAGAAAAGCUGUAGCUCUUCCAGAUGUAUACUGGUCUGUUACUGUGUUAAAGCAUGCUGUGUAUGUACAUACAUAUGCAAGAAUACACCAUUUUCACAAAGGUAGUACUUAAGAUUUAUUUCUUCUUUUCUUUCCAGUUGGACUAACUUCUCUUUAAUUCUUUCUUCUCCUGUACCGGUUCAUUUCACUGAGACUCAUUCACUUCACUCAAGCCAUUAGUCAUUUUGUUAUGCAUUCCCUCUGGCUACGCUUGCUAGAACACCCUGCAGAUUGCAUCUUAUCUGAAGUGUUGCAUAAAUUGCUUUCCAGCAGAAGGAACUUAACUUGCUAAGUGCGGACAGCAUGGUUAAGUGAACUUGCAACUUACACUGUUUCCCUGUACUUUAGGAGGACUGUAAAUAUGCUCAACAAUUGCUAACUUACAAGAGUAUGGUCAUGAUACGAGAUGGGUGACAUCCUAACUAAUGGAGAUGGUCUUGAAUAGCCCAACUAGAUUACUUCUAAAUGUAAGACUAUUAGGGUUGGAACAAAAUGUACAGGGAAUAGCAUGUGACAUGGCUUUUAGGCAUAGUAACAAGUAACUGCUUGAAUGAAUCUCUGAGUUCAGCAAUUUGAAAGAAGGCAAAGGCCCAAGUUUGUUUAAGUU